GGUACUAUGCCAGAAUAAGUGGGUUACUUUGAUGGAGUAAAAUAUAGGGUUAUGGCCUUUGGUACUU
rnacentral:tRNA from 1 species